GACGAACGCUGGCGGCGUGCCUAAUACAUGCAAGUAGAACGCUGAAGAGAGGAGCUUGCUCUUCUUGGAUGAGUUGCGAACGGGUGAGUAACGCGUAGGUAACCUGCCUGGUAGCGGGGGAUAACUAUUGGAAACGAUAGCUAAUACCGCAUAACAACAGUUGUUGCAUGACAGCUGUUUAAAAGAUGCAAUUGCAUCACUACCAGAUGGACCUGCGUUGUAUUAGCUAGUUGGUGAGGUAACGGCUCACCAAGGCGACGAUACAUAGCCGACCUGAGAGGGUGAUCGGCCACACUGGGACUGAGACACGGCCCAGACUCCUACGGGAGGCAGCAGUAGGGAAUCUUCGGCAAUGGGGGGAACCCUGACCGAGCAACGCCGCGUGAGUGAAGAAGGUUUUCGGAUCGUAAAGCUCUGUUGUAAGAGAAGAACGGGGGUGAGAGUGGAAAGUUCACACUGUGACGGUAUCUUACCAGAAAGGGACGGCUAACUACGUG
rnacentral:rRNA from 1 species